UUGGCUACCUUUUACCUUACCUAGGUACGAAUUUUCGUUUACCUUAAGUUUUAGCUAUGUAAGGUAUUUAGGUACUUCCAUACGUGUAUGUAAAUAUUGUGCAUAUUAGAAAUAGCCCUGCUUCACAGCAAUGCAAUCGAAAACUUAGAAAUAUGAUAGUUCCACCACUUACUCACAGAGGUCUUUAUGCAAUGCCGUUGCUACCUAAACAGUGCACUUUUGUCGAUGACAUUGGUUCCUAGAAAACGUCACAACAAAUCUUAAAAUGAGCAAAGAAGACGCAGAAAAAAAGGAGCUACCAUUAAUUUUAAAUGCUACUUUCUUUUUACCGGACGGGAAGUGCAAACUGUGUGUGAACAAAACUAUCAAAUUUGAUGAAAAGUCAACCGGCAACUUGCAUAAACAUCUGAAGAGGGUUCACCCGAACAGUUAUUCUUCGUACGAAGCUUUGAAAGCGAAAAAUUCAAAAAUAGAAGUGAAAAUUUCCGGUGAUCUCAAAAAAAGAAACCAAUGUGACUUAUGUUUAUAUCUUUGUAUCUCAGAAAAAGAAACUGAUAAUAAAAAUUUCAAAUUUAAAAAA